rnacentral:rRNA from 1 species
GACGAACCGUGCGAACGUUGUUCGGAAUCACUGGGCUUAAAGGGUGCGUAGGUGGGCAGUUAAGUCAGUGGUGAAAUCUCCGGGCUCAACCCGGAAACUGCCAUUGAUACUAUCUGUCUUGAAUAUCGUGGAGGUAAGCGGAAUAUGUCAUGUAGCGGUGAAAUGCUUAGAUAUGACAUAGAACACCAAUUGCGAAGGCAGCUUACUACCCGAAUAUUGACACUGAGGCACGAAAGCGUGGGGAUCAAACAGG